ACUCCUACGGGAGGCAGCAGUGGGGAAUAUUGCACAAUGGGCGCAAGCCUGAUGCAGCAACGCCGUGUGAGUGAAGAAGGUUUUCGGAUCGUAAAACUCUGUCCUAAGGGAAGAAACAAAUGACGGUACCUUAGGAGGAAGCCCCGGCUAACUACGUGCCAGCAGCCGCGGUAAUACGUAGGGGGGCAAGCGUUAUCCGGAAUCACUGGGCGUAAAGGGUGCGUAGGCGGCUUAGCAAGCCAGGGGUGAAAGGCAUUGGCUCAACCAAUGUAAGCCUUUGGAACUGUUAAGCUUGAGUGCAGGAGAGGUAAGUGGAAUUCCUAGUGUAGAGGUGAAAUUCGUAGAUAUUAGGAGGAACACCAGUGGCGAAGGCGACUUACUGGACUGUAACUGACGCUGAUGCACGAAAGCGUGGGGUAGCGAACAGGAUUAGAUACCCUGGUAGCAGAGAG
rnacentral:rRNA from 1 species